rnacentral:rRNA from 1 species
UACGUAGGUGGCAAGCGUUAUCCGGAAUUAUUGGGCGUAAAGCGCGCGCAGGCGGUUUCUUAAGUCUGAGGUGAAAGCCCACGGCUCAACCGUGGAGGGUCAUUGGAAACUGGGAAACUUGAGUGCAGAAGAGAAAAGCGGAAUUCCACGUGUAGCGGUGAAAUGCGUAGAGAUGUGGAGGAACACCAGUGGCGAAGGCGGCUUUUUGGUCUGUAACUGACGCUGAGGCGCGAAAGCGUGGGGAGCAAACAGG